AAAACAAGAUGGCGGCGGUUGCCUAGCAACGGGGAGGGGACAAGAUGGCGGCGGUUGCCUAGUAACGGGGAGGGGACAAGAUGGCGGCGGUCGCUUAGCAACAGAUCUCCGUCAACCGCGGCCAUCUUGGCCGAGGUCUGUUCGGCGGCGUGUGACGUCACGCGGCAAGGUGUGACGUCACAGGGUGGCGUCACCGGGCGACAUCUCGACGAGCGACUCACACAGGAGACGACGGAGGGGUCAGAAACGGCUUUAAUGUGGGGUGGGGACGCGCUGCGUGCCCCAUAGCGAUCCAUAGGGACCCACAGAGACCCAUAGCGACCCAUAGGGACACACAGAGACCCACAGAGACCCAUAGGGACCCACAGAGACCCAUAGGGACCCAUAGGGACCCACUGUGCCCCAUAGGGACCCAUAGGGACCCACAGAGACCCAUAGAGACCCACUGUGCCCCAUAGCGACCCAUAGAGACCCACAGAGACCCAUAGAGACAUCCAUAAGGACCCACUGUGCCCCACAGCGACCCAUAGAGACCCAUAGGGAAUCACAGAAACCCACAGAGACACACAGGGACCCACUGUGCCCCAUAGCGACCCACAGACACUCAUAGGGAACCAAUAGAGACCCCACAGAGACCCAUAGGGACCCACAGAGACCCACAGAGACCCAUAGGGACCCACUGUGCCCCAUAGCAACCCAUAGGGACCCACAGAGACCCAUAGAGACCCACUGUGCCCCAUAGGGACCCAUAGAGACCCACAGAGACCCAUAGGGACCCACAGAGACCCAUAGGGACCCACAGAGACCCACUGUGCCCCAUAGCGACCCAUAGGGACCCACAGAGACCCAUAGAGACAUCCAUAGGGACCCACUGUGCCCCAUAGCGACCCACAGAGACCCAUAGGGACCCAUAGAGACAUCCAGAAGACCCAUAGGGACCCACAGAGACCCACAGGGACCCAUAGAGACACCCAGAGGGACCCCAUAGAGACCCCAAGACCCCCAUAGAGACCCCCAUAGGGACGCCAUAGAGACCCCAUAGACCCCCAUAAGGACCCCAUAGGGACCCCAUAGAGACUCCAUAGACCCCCAUAUGGACCCCAUAGGGACCCCAUACAGACCCCAUAGACCCCCAUAAGGACCCCAUAGGGACCCCAUAGAGACCUCAGGACCCCCAUAAGGACCCCAUAGGGACCCCAUAGAGACCCCAAGACCCCCAUAUGGACCCCAUAGGGACCCCAUAGAGACCCCAAGACCCCCAUAAGGACCCCAGAGGGACCCCAUUCUGCCCCACAGACCCCUCAGCACCCCAAUAAAUACCCCAAUAAAUAACUCCAAUAAAUACCCCCCCCAUAAAUACCCCAAUAAAUACCCCCCCAUAAAUACCCCAUCCAACAGUGUAGGGUUGGGGGGAAGGGGGCUCAGGGGGGCCGGGGGGGUUGGGGUCGGAAGAGACCGCCCCAUAGAGUCCCCAAGGCCCCCAUAGGGACCCCACAGAGACCCCAUAGAGACACGAGGACUCCAUAGGAACCCCAUAGAGACCCCAUAGGGACCCCAUAGAGACUACAGAACCCCCAUUGAGACCCGAAGCCCCCCACAGGGACCCCAUAGAGACCCAAAGCCCCCCAUAGGGGCCCCAUAGAGACCCCAGGACCCCCAUAGGGACCCCAUAAGAACCCCAUAGGGACCCCAUAGGGACCCCAUAGAGACCCCAUAGAGACCCGAAGCCCCCCAUAGGGACCCCAUAGAGACCCCAGGACCCCCAUAGGGACCCCAUAGGAACCCCACAGAGACCCCAUGGAGAGCCCAUAGAGACCCGAAGCCCCCCAUAGGGACCCCAUAGAGACCCCAUAGGGACCCCAUAGAGACCCCAGGACC
rnacentral:lncRNA from 1 species